rnacentral:lncRNA from 1 species
UGUACUGGGUCUGCUGUGAACUGACUAGUCACGUCAGAGAAGAUUUGCUCCUAUCCUUCCAGGAGAUUUUAUUUCAGAAAACCAUUUUAAUAAAGCUGUAGCAGAGUCAUAGCUGUGCCUUUGUGUUUUUCCCUAUGGGAAUAAAAUUUCAAAUUAAAAAACACGUCUUUUGUAUGGUAUAAUUAAAUUAUAGUUUUUACAUAUGUGAUCUCUUUGCUUUUACAUUUGUAUAGACCUCAGUGGCUGGAUGGAGAUAGGAGGAGUCAUUGUCAUUGGUUAAGCCUUUAACAAAUUUGGAGAAGACAGUCAAUAUCCAGUAUCAUAUAGCUUAAUAUGUAUAUAUAACUUCACUCUUAGAAUGCCUUCACACCUUGUCUAACAUAGUUUCAGCGCUUCU